rnacentral:rRNA from 1 species
AGAGUUUGAUCCUGGCUCAGAUUGAACGCUGGCGGCAUGCCUUACACAUGCAAGUCGAACGGCAGCACGGACUUCGGUCUGGUGGCGAGUGGCGAACGGGUGAGUAAUACAUCGGAACGUGCCUAGUAGUGGGGGAUAACUACUCGAAAGAGUAGCUAAUACCGCAUGAGAUCUACGGAUGAAAGCAGGGGAUCGCAAGACCUUGUGCUACUGGAGCGGCCGAUGGCAGAUUAGGUAGUUGGUGGGAUAAAAGCUUACCAAGCCGACGAUCUGUAGCUGGUCUGAGAGGACGAUCAGCCACACUGGGACUGAGACACGGCCCAGACUCCUACGGGAGGCGGCAGUGGGGAAUUUUGGACAAUGGGCGAAAGCCUGAUCCAGCAAUGCCGCGUGCAGGAUGAAGGCCUUCGGGUUGUAAACUGCUUUUGUACGGAACGAAAAGCUUUGGGUUAAUACCCUGGAGUCAUGACGGUACCGUAAGAAUAAGCACCGGCUAACUACGUGCCAGCAGCCGCGGUAAUACGUAGGGUGCAAGCGUUAAUCGGAAUUACUGGGCGUAAAGCGUGCGCAGGCGGUUUUGUAAGACAGUGGUGAAAUCCCCGGGCUCAACCUGGGAACUGCCAUUGUGACUGCAAGGCUAGAGUACGGCAGAGGGGGAUGGAAUUCCGCGUGUAGCAGUGAAAUGCGUAGAUAUGCGAAGGAACACCGAUGGCGAAGGCAAUCCCCUGGGCCUGUACUGUCGCUCCUCCCCGAAAGCGUGGGGACCCAACAGGAUUAGAUACCCUGGUAGUCCACGCCCUAAA